CUCGGUUUGAAAGUAGGAUUUGAGCAGCUGUUAGAAGUUUCUAAAUUGAAUAGUAAGAAACGAAUAUCAUUGCUGCAAUUUUGAGUUCUAUCAGCUUUUUCCUACCUCUAAUGAUAUUUUGGACAAUUAAGUAGUAUCUGCUUCACUGAGCUCUGAAUGUGCUUAACAGCUCUUGUGGGAAAUCACCCAUUCAAAUCUACAUGUGUCUUUUACUUCCCACUGUCUAUCCUAGCAGUUGCUGUCAAGCACAGCUACUUUGGAACUGCUCCAAAAUCCAGACUGAGUCUUAAAAGCCAAAACAGCCCAGUUCUUAACAACUGUUAGGUUUUAAGAUCAGCAGUGCCCAGAGUUGGAAGUUCACUGACAAUUAAUUAGAAGGGAAAUAAAAUCAGAAGUUCAGCAACUGUAGAAGGUUAAUUUCUGCAGAUACCUACUUUUGUACCUACCACUUUGGUUGUAAUGUAGUUGGUACUGCCAUUCAGAAUCUAUGUAGCUUAAAAUUACAGCUAGUCCACAACAUCAUGCAAAUGGGAACUCUCAGACAUCUUACAGAAAUAAUUUCUUUUCAAAGAACAGACCUUUACAUUUUCUAUUUGUCUAGAUAAACAGAAUAAAUAACUGACAAACACCACUUACAAGUCUCUGCUGAUCAUAUCUAUUAGUAAGCCAUCCGUUCUCUUCCUGUUUACUAGGUACCACACCAUGCCUCCAAAGUGCCUUGUUGAACGGAGCAAAUCAUACUUCGCAUGUUUCUCAAUGUCAUCGUACGUUCGAUGAUGAACUCUGAUAUAGUCAGCUGAAUCUGGCUCAAACUGAGCAAUGCACAUGUUAAGGAUAUCCUCAUGACGGUCUUGCUGAAACACAGUCCCGAGGUGUUCGUCCUUAAAUAAUACUGGGGGAAUAACUCUGCGCCCUUCUUUUGGGAAGAAUAUCUGUAUCAUUCGGUCUCGCUCUUCCCAGGUUGCCUUACGUAAUACACCAUUCGGUUCUCUAACUACAAUGAAACGUUCACGAUGCGGAGUGGCAUAAGUUAGAUCUGUAAACACGUAUUUCGCAGUCUCAGUUCCCUCGAGGACUUUGUCGUCUGCUAACACAUCAUCAAUGGGCUCUCGUUCGUCCAACACUGGUGGCAUUCUCAGCUUCUCCUUAGCCUCCACAACGGCUUUUCUGGUGGCCUCCUGCAGCUGAGCCUCCGUCAGCAGCUGGUACUUGGGCGGCUUCAGCUCCUGCCGAACCGGACGGAAAACCUUCUGCAGGUUCAGCCCCGUCAUUCUGUACAGCAAAUCCUGAACCGCUUCAUCCGUAAAAGCGGGCUUCGCGUCCCUUUUUUCGCCCGCUCCCGCACCGCCCGCGGGCCCCGCGUCCUGCCCGAGCCCCCGCUGCACGCGCCAUCCCCACAGCGCCCGCGCCACGCGCGAGAGCCGCACGGGCAGCAGAGCGGCACCCUUCGCCGCGAGCGCC
rnacentral:lncRNA from 1 species